rnacentral:rRNA from 1 species
CGCAUUGAAAUGGGCGAAAGCCUGAUGCAGCAACGCCGCGUGAGCGAUGAAGGCCUUCGGGUCGUAAAGCUCUGUCCUCAAGGAAGAUAAUGACGGUACUUGAGGAGGAAGCCCCGGCUAACUACGUGCCAGCAGCCGCGGUAAUACGUAGGGGGCUAGCGUUAUCCGGAUUUACUGGGCGUAAAGGGUGCGUAGGCGGUCUUUCAAGUCAGGAGUGAAAGGCUACGGCUCAACCGUAGUAAGCUCUUGAAACUGUAAGACUUGAGUGCAGGAGAGGAGAGUGGAAUUCCUAGUGUAGCGGUGAAAUGCGUAGAUAUUAGGAGGAACACCAGUUGCGAAGGCGGCUCUCUGGACUGUAACUGACGCUGAGGCACGAAAGCGUGGGGAGCAAACAGGAUUAGAUACCCUGG